rnacentral:rRNA from 1 species
UACGUAGGGUGCAAGCGUUAAUCGGAAUUACUGGGCGUAAAGCGUGCGCAGGCGGUUGUGCAAGACAGAUGUGAAAUCCCCGGGCUCAACCUGGGAACUGCAUUUGUGACUGCAUGGCUAGAGUACGGCAGAGGGGGAUGGAAUUCCGCGUGUAGCAGUGAAAUGCGUAGAUAUGCGGAGGAACACCGAUGGCGAAGGCAAUCCCCUGGGCCUGUACUGACGCUCAUGCACGAAAGCGUGGGGAGCAAACAGG